GAUGAACGCUAGCGGCAGGCCUAAUACAUGCAAGUCGAGGGAGAAUGUUGGAUUCGUCUGACAUGAAACCGGCGCACGGGUGCGUAACACGUAUGCAACCUACCUUCAACUGGGGUAUAGCUCAGAGAAAUCUGAAUUAAUCCCCCAUAAGACUACGACAUGGCAUCAUGAUGUAGUUAAAGCUCCGGCGGUUAAGGAUGGGCAUGCGGUACAUUAGCUAGUUGGUGAGGUAAUGGCUCACCAAGGCUACGAUGUAUAGGGGGUCUGAGAGGAUGAUCCCCCACACUGGGACUGAGACACGGAACAGACUCCUACGGGAGGCAGCAGUAGGGAAUAUUGGUCAAUGGACGCAAGUCUGAACCAGCCAUGCCGCGUGAAGGAUGAAGGCCCUAUGGGUCGUAAACUUCUUUUAUUAGGGAAGAAAAAACGGGAUGCGUCCUGUACUGACGGUACUUAAUGAAUAAGGAUCGGCUAACUUCGUGCCAGCAGCCGCGGUAA
rnacentral:rRNA from 1 species